UAUUUUAAAGUUCAAGUAGCACAUCUGACUCCAGAUCAGAAGGCUGUGUGUUCAAAUCACAUUGGGGUCA
rnacentral:tRNA from 1 species